AACGACCAUAUCACGUUGAAACGCCGGUUCUCGCCCAAUCACCGAAGUUAAGCAACGUUGAGCCUGGUCUGUACCUAGAUGGGUGACCACUCGGGUAUAUCAGUUGCUGUAAG